rnacentral:rRNA from 1 species
UACGAAGGGGGCUAGCGUUGUUCGGAAUUACUGGGCGUAAAGGGCGCGUAGGCGGCCCCGCGCGUCGAGCGUGAAAGGCCUGGGCUCAACCCAGGAACGGCGCUCGAUACGGCAGGGCUUGAGUGCAGGAGAGGAUGGUGGAAUUCCCAGUGUAGAGGUGAAAUUCGUAGAUAUUGGGAAGAACACCGGUGGCGAAGGCGGCCAUCUGGACUGCAACUGACGCUGAGGCGCGAAAGCGUGGGGAGCAAACAGG